rnacentral:ncRNA from 2 species
UUCUUAUCAAGAGCGGCGGAGGGACAAGGCCCUAUGAAGCCCGGCAACCGGUUCACCUGGUGCCAAUUCCUUCAGAAUCGCAUCGGCGAUUACUGAAAGAUGAGAA